UUUCGCAAUGCCCGAAAGGGUGACGAGGCGACGCCGCGUGUGGGAAGAAGGCCUUCGGGUUGUAAACCACUGUCGGGAGUUAAGAAAUACAAGGAUAUUAAUAGUGUCUUUGUUUGACUAAGGCUCCGGAGGAAGCCACGGCUAACUCUGUGCCAGCAGCCGCGGUAAUACAGAGGCGGCAAGCGUUGUUCGGAAUUAUUGGGCGUAAAGAGCACGUAGGCGGCUAUGUAAGUCGGUUGUGAAAGCCUUCCGCUCAACGGAAGAACAGCAUCCGAUACUACAUGGCUUGAGUGCGGGAGGGGAGAGUGGAACUUCUGGUGGAGCGGUGAAAUGCGUAGAUAUCGGAAGGAACGCCGGCGGCGAAAGCGGCUCUCUGGCCCAUAACUGACGCUGAGUGUGCGAAAGCUAGGGGAGCAAACGGGAUUAGAUACCCCGGUAGUCCUAGCCGUAAACGAUGGGCACUAAGUAGAGGGGUUUU
rnacentral:rRNA from 1 species